GCCUGGGUGGCUCAGUCGGUUGAGCGUCCGACUUCGGCUCAGGUCAUGAUCUCACGGUCUGUGGGUUCGAGCCCCGCGUCGGGCU
rfam:Felis catus isolate Cinnamon breed Abyssinian chromosome B1, whole genome shotgun sequence.